GUUUAAUGCCCUUCUCCUCUUUCCUCGCUCCCCCUUUUCCGCUAUGGAAUAACCCAUGGUCGCUGGCCAAUGGGCUGCCUAGUAUUCAUAUUGCGUAAUGCAGAUGAAACGUAAACCAAGCUGAUUACGAGCACAGCAGUCAUUUCGCUGCCAGACAGAGGGGAGACAACACGGGUCUGGGACCGGUCUCUGAUGAUUAAUAGCAACUGCCCCCACGAAGUCAACGCACUCCCCUGCACUUCGGGGCUCAUCAUAAAGAUGUUUACGAAGGACGUCGCUGAUGGCUUGCACUGGAAGACGAGCUGUAUCACUGAAGGGAAGGACAUUCGUAAGAAAAUUGCUACAAGGAGACCGAGACUGGAAGCCAUGCAAAACCUGAAACAACGUCGCCCGAAGGAGCAAGGCCAUGAGAGGGAAAUGCAAGACCGACAGCAGAGCUGCGUGUAGCCAAGCGAUUGCGCUGCUAUUGAUGGUAAAACUGAGUGCAGUUAGAGAAUUCAUGGACUGACAUACACGUGCUGUCUGCGUUAUUUGACUUAUACGAAUACGUGUUGUCUAUUCUAUUAGGUCAUAUUAAGGAAUGUAAAAAAAUACUUCAAUUGACCUAGAUGGAUAUACGAAUGGUCGACAUCACAACCAAACGUAUUUGAAAUCUUUAUUGACACGACAAAAGUACAGAGACUUUCGUGAGGAUUAUAACAAGUACUUACAGUGCAACUAAGCAGACGUAUAUGCAUAUUUACAGAUAUGAAUAAGUCAACAUAUUGUUCUAGCAUGUCAUUUACAUAAUUCGAACAUUGCCUGCAAAUGUCUUGAGUUACAAACAAACUCUUACCAACUCUACGCUUAAACACACGUCUGUGCAGCCGUUUACUUUUCGGGCCGGAACUCGGUGUAAUACAUAAAUGGGACCUUACAGGUAUUGUAUAUACAAGCUGUAUCAGUCUUUCACUCCGUCACUUACAAGAAGAUACAACGCAACGUUUGCUAGAAGUAAUUAGUCAGUGGUAUUGUACUGUGAUUGUUAUUCUUAGACGGUUAUUCGUUUGAUGACGUGAACUGCAACAGACUGAGAU